rnacentral:rRNA from 1 species
AAAGCGUGGGUAGCAAACAGGAUUAGAUACCCUGGUAGUCCACGCCGUAAACGAUGUCGACCAGCCGUUGGGUGCCUAGCGCACUUUGUGGCGAAGUUAACGCGAUAAGUCGACCGCCUGGGGAGUACGGCCGCAAGGUUAAAACUCAAAUGAAUUGACGGGGGCCCGCACAAGCGGUGGAGCAUGUGGUUUAAUUCGAUGCAACGCGAAGAACCUUACCUACUCUUGACAUCCUGCGAACUUGUGAGAGAUCACUUGGUGCCUUCGGGAGCGCAGAGACAGGUGCUGCAUGGCUGUCGUCAGCUCGUGUUGUGAAAUGUUGGGUUAAGUCCCGUAACGAGCGCAACCCUUGUCCUUAUUUGCCAGCGGGUAAUGCCGGGAACUCUAAGGAGACUGCCGGUGACAAACCGGAGGAAGGUGGGGACGACGUCAAGUCAUCAUGGCCCUUACGAGUAGGGCUACACACGUGCUACAAUGGCCGGUACAAAGGGUUGCGAGCUCGCGAGAGUCAGCUAAUCCCGAAAAGCCGGUCUCAGUCCGGAUCGGAGUCUGCAACUCGACUCCGUGAAGUCGGAAUCGCUAGUAAUCGUGAAUCAGAAUGUCACGGUGAAUACGUUCCCGGGCCUUGUACACACCGCCCGU